rfam:Pleurotus ostreatus PC15 unplaced genomic scaffold scaffold_07, whole genome shotgun sequence.
GGCUUUAUAGUGUAGUGGUUAUCACAUUGGAUUUUGACGUGAAACAAUUUCCAGUAACCCAGGUUCGAACCCUGGUAAGGCCU